GCAAGGGGCUCCCGCCAGAACCCCAGCGAGGGGCUCCCGCCAGAACCCCGGACAGGGCCUCACAGACCUGCCCCGCGACCUCACCUUCUCCGCCGACCUUGCGGGUCCUGCCUUCCACGCGGUGGGGCCGAAGGAGCGCAAAGGCCUCCGCAGGACCCCCGGAGGACUCUUCUCUUUGAUCCAGCACUACAAACCCUGAGAAGCUGGACGGUUCCGGUCCCUGCUUGCUAGUUUGGACCUGUUGCCACAUGGAGAACACAUGAGCUUGAAUAUGAAAUUGAUCUUCUUCAGCGUGUGAAGAGGGAAAACAACGAAAGAAAAAUGGAAGCACGAGUUAAUCAGAAUUACGUGAACAUGCAGCAAUUGAGAUGCAAAGGAGUUAAAUGACUUGACCAAAAUAUCAAGCUAGUGAGUGGCAGAGCCAGGAAUCAGGUCUUCAGAACAUAAGAUUGAUGAACUUUCCAUAAUACCAUUUUAUAACUAAU